rnacentral:rRNA from 1 species
GGUCAUUAUCGAAAUUACUGGGGAGGGUUGUAGCUGGCCUCUCGGGGCACGUGCACGCCCGAGCCUUUAAUCCACACACACCUGUGAACCAAAUGUAAGGGCCCGUGAAAAGGCCCCUACGUAUUAUCAUCGCACCCUUUGUAUUAUCAUAGAAUGUAAAUUGCGUCUUCGCCCUGAAAAGCGUCGACAAAAACUUAUACAACUUUCAACAACGGAUCUCUUGGCUCUCGCAUCGAUGAAGAACGCAGCGAAAUGCGAUAAGUAAUGUGAAUUGCAGAUUUUCAGUGAAUCAUCGAAUCUUUGAACGCACCUUGCGCUCCUUGGUAUUCCGAGGAGCAUGCCUGUUUGAGUGUCAUUAAAUCAUCAACCCCGAGACGUUUGUUCGCCUUGUGGGCUUGGACUUGGAGUGUGCCGGCGAAGGUCGGCUCCUCUCAAAAUCAUCAGCGGGAUUUCAGCCUCUGGGUUCCAGAAGUCGGUGUGAUAAUCAUGUUGCGCCGUCGUCGGAACCCUUCAAGGGCCCCGCUUACAAUCGUCCUCGGACAAACAUCAUUUGAAUUUGACCUCAAAUCAGGUAGGACUACCCGCUGAACUUAAGCAUAUCAAUAAGCGGAGGAAAAGAAACUAACAAGGAUUCCCCUAGUAACUGCGAGUGAAGCGGGAAGAGCUCAAAUUUAAAAUCUGGCGGCCUUGGGUCGUCCGAGUUGUAAUCUGGAGAAGCGCCUUGCCGCGAA